GAUGAACGCUGGCGGCGUGCCUAAUACAUGCAAGUCGAGCGAACGGACGAGAAGCUUGCUUCUCUGAUGUUAGCGGCGGACGGGUGAGUAACACGUGGAUAACCUACCUAUAAGACUGGGAUAACUUCGGGAAACCGGAGCUAAUACCGGAUAAUAUUUUGAACCGCAUGGUUCAAAGGUGAAAGACGGUCUUGCUGUCACUUAUAGAUGGAUCCGCGCUGCAUUAGCUAGUUGGUAAGGUAACGGCUUACCAAGGCAACGAUGCAUAGCCGACCUGAGAGGGUGAUCGGCCACACUGGAACUGAGACACGGUCCAGACUCCUACGGGAGGCAGCAGUAGGGAAUCUUCCGCAAUGGGCGAAAGCCUGACGGAGCAACGCCGCGUGAGUGAUGAAGGUCUUCGGAUCGUAAAACUCUGUUAUUAGGGAAGAACAUAUGUGUAAGUAACUGUGCACAUCUUGACGGUACCUAAUCAGAAAGCCACGGCUAACUACGUGCCAGCAGCCGCGGUAAUACGUAGGUGGCAAGCGUUAUCCGGAAUUAUUGGGCGUAAAGCGCGCGUAGGCGGUUUUUUAAGUCUGAUGUGAAAGCCCACGGCUCAACCGUGGAGGGUCAUUGGAAACUGGAAAACUUGAGUGCAGAAGAGGAAAGUGGAAUUCCAUGUGUAGCGGUGAAAUGCGCAGAGAUAUGGAGGAACACCAGUGGCGAAGGCGACUUUCUGGUCUGUAACUGACGCUGAUGUGCGAAAGCGUGGGGAUCAAACAGGAUUAGAUACCCUGGUAGUCCACGCCGUAAACGAUGAGUGCUAAGUGUUAGGGGGUUUCCGCCCCUUAGUGCUGCAGCUAACGCAUUAAGCACUCCGCCUGGGGAGUACGACCGCAAGGUUGAAACUCAAAGGAAUUGACGGGGACCCGCACAAGCGGUGGAGCAUGUGGUUUAAUUCGAAGCAACGCGAAGAACCUUACCAAAUCUUGACAUCCUUUGACAACUCUAGAGAUAGAGCCUUCCCCUUCGGGGGACAAAGUGACAGGUGGUGCAUGGUUGUCGUCAGCUCGUGUCGUGAGAUGUUGGGUUAAGUCCCGCAACGAGCGCAACCCUUAAGCUUAGUUGCCAUCAUUAAGUUGGGCACUCUAAGUUGACUGCCGGUGACAAACCGGAGGAAGGUGGGGAUGACGUCAAAUCAUCAUGCCCCUUAUGAUUUGGGCUACACACGUGCUACAAUGGACAAUACAAAGGGCAGCGAAACCGCGAGGUCAAGCAAAUCCCAUAAAGUUGUUCUCAGUUCGGAUUGUAGUCUGCAACUCGACUACAUGAAGCUGGAAUCGCUAGUAAUCGUAGAUCAGCAUGCUACGGUGAAUACGUUCCCGGGUCU
rnacentral:rRNA from 1 species